AUUGAACGCUGGCGGCAGGCCUAACACAUGCAAGUCGAGCGAGUGGCGGACGGGUGAGGAAUGCAUCGGGAUCUACUCGGUCGAGGGGGAUAACGAAGGGAAACUGACGCUAAUACCGCAUACUAGUGGAUGAGCCGAUGUCGGAUGAGCUAGUUGGGGGGGUAAAGGCACACCAAGGCGACGAUCCGUAGCUGGUCUGAGAGGAUGAUCAGCCACACUGGAACUGAGACACGGUCCAGACUCCUACGGGAGGCAGCAGUGGGGAAUAUUGGACAAUGGGCGCAAGCCUGAUCCAGCCAUGCCGCGUGUAUGAAGAAGGCCUUCGGGUUGUAAAGUACUUUCAGCGGGGAGGCGUUACCAACAGAAUAAGCACCGGCUAACUUCGUGCCAGCAGCCGCGGUAAUAC
rnacentral:rRNA from 1 species